rnacentral:rRNA from 1 species
GCACAAGCGGUGGAGCAUGUGGUUCAAUUCGACGCAACGCGAAAAACCUUACCUGGGUUUGACAUGUCGGUGGUAGGAAACCGAAAGGGGCCCGACCCCGCAAGGGGAGCCGACACAGGUGCUGCAUGGCUGUCGUCAGCUCGUGUCGUGAGAUGUUGGGUUAAGUCCCGCAACGAGCGCAACCCUCGCCCCUAGUUGCCAACGGGUCAUGCCGGGAACUCUAGGGGGACUGCCCCGGUUAACGGGGAGGAAGGUGGGGAUGACGUCAAGUCAUCAUGGCCUUUAUGCCCAGGGCUACACACGUGCUACAAUGGCCGGUACAAAGGGUCGCAAACGUGCGAACGGGAGCUAAUCCCAAAAAGCCGGUCCCAGUUGGGAUCGCAGUCUGCAACUCGACUGCGUGAACGCGGAAUCGCUAGUAAUCGGGGAUCAGCUGGCCCCGGUGAAUACGUUCCCGGGC